rnacentral:rRNA from 1 species
GACGGGGCCCGCACAAGCGGUGGAGCAUGUGGUUUAAUUCGAUGAUACGCGAGGAACCUUACCUGGGCUCAAAUGUAUGUUGACGUAUUCUGAAAGGGAUACUUCUUCGGACAAUAUACAAGGUGCUGCAUGGUUGUCGUCAGCUCGUGCCGUGAGGUGUCGGGUUAAGUCCCAUAACGAGCGCAACCCCUAUCAUUAGUUGCCAUCAGGUCAAGCUGGGGACUCUAAUGAAACUGCCUACGCAAGUAGUGAGGAAGGUGGGGAUGACGUCAAAUCAGCACGGCCCUUACGUCCAGGGCUACACACGUGCUACAAUGGCCGGUACAAAGGGCAGCUACCUGGUGACAGGAUGCUAAUCUCAAAAGCCGGUCUCAGUACGGAUUGGAGUCUGAAACUCGACUUCAUGAAGUUGGAAUCGCUAGUAAUCGCGCAUCAGCAUGGCGCGGUGAAUACGUUCCCGGGCCUU